rnacentral:sRNA from 1 species
UCCUAGCCCCGAUUGCAGCGGAAAUCCCGAAGCAACGCGAAGGAAUUGCAGCGGAAAGCGGGAAUUGCG